UGAACGCUGGCGGCGUGCCUAAUACAUGCAAGUCGAGCGAACGGACGAGAAGCUUGCUUCUCUGAUGUUAGCGGCGGACGGGUGAGUAACACGUGGAUAACCUACCUAUAAGACUGGGAUAACUUCGGGAAACCGGAGCUAAUACCGGAUAAUAUUUUGAACCGCAUGGUUCAAAAGUGAAAGACGGUCUUGCUGUCACUUAUAGAUGGAUCCGCGCUGCAUUAGCUAGUUGGUAAGGUAACGGCUUACCAAGGCAACGAUGCAUAGCCGACCUGAGAGGGUGAUCGGCCACACUGGAACUGAGACACGGUCCAGACUCCUACGGGAGGCAGCAGUAGGGAAUCUUCCGCAAUGGGCGAAAGCCUGACGGAGCAACGCCGCGUGAGUGAUGAAGGUCUUCGGAUCGUAAAACUCUGUUAUUAGGGAAAAACAUAUGUGUAAGUAACUGUGCACAUCUUGACGGUACCUAAUCAGAAAGCCACGGCUAACUACGUG
rnacentral:rRNA from 1 species